AUACUACCGUAAACAAAUUUUGUGGUCGUAUAUUGGUAUGACGUUGGCGUCGUCUUCGUCGUCGUCCGAAGACACAUUGGUUUUCGCACUCUAACUUUAGUUUAAGUGAAUGGAUCUCUAUGAAAUUUUACCAUAAGGUUCAAUACCACAAAAGGAAGGUUGGGAUUGAUUUUGGGGGUUAUGGUACCAACAGUUAAGGAAUAAGGGGCCAAAAAGGGGCCAAAAAUAAGCAUUUUUAUACGACCGCAAAAAAAUUUUUGUGGUCGUAUAUUGGUAUCACGUUGGCGUCGUCGUCGUUGUCCGGCGUCGUCGUCGUCGUCGUCCGGCGUCGUCCGAAGACACAUUGGUUUUCGCACUCUAACUUUAGUUUAAGUGAAUGGAUCUUUAUGAAAUUUUACCACAAGGUUCAAUACCACAAAAGGAAGGUUGGGAUUGAUUUUGGGGGUUAUGGUAAUAACAGUAAAGGAAUUAGGGGCCAAAAAGGGGCCAAAAAUAAGCAUUUUUGUAACUUCCAGACAUAACUUGUGUGUUAGUGUAUGGAUCUCUCUGACAUUGUACCACAAGGUUCCAUAUCACUAAAGGAAUGCUGGGAUUGAUUUUGGGGGUAAUUGCCUCCAAAUUUUAGGAAUUAGGGGCCAAAAAAGGGGCAAAAAACAAGCAUUUUUCUAGUUUCAUGACAAUAACUUGUGUGUAAGUGUAUGGAUCUUUCUGAAAUUGUACUACAAGGUUCCAUAUCACAAAGGGAAAGCUGGGUUUGAGUUUGGGGGUAAUUGCCCUAAACGUUUAGGAAUUUGGGGCCAAAAAGGGGCCAAAAAACACAUUUUUUUCUAGUUUCCAGACAAUAACUUGUGUUCAAGUGUAUGGAUCUCUCUGAAAUUGUACUGCAAGGUACCAUACCACAAAGGGAAGGCUAGGAUUGAGUUUGGGGGUGAUGAAUCAUAAUGGGGGUUCAAAAAAUUUUGGGGGGGGAUUUAUUUUUUUUUCCUUUUUUUUCUUUUUUUCCUUUUUUGUUUCUUUUAAAAUUUUCCAUUUUAAGUUGGUUAUUUCUGAUUUAUAUUUAAAAUCAAAUAAUAAUGAUAUGGUAGGAGAUACACACCAAACAGGAUGUGUAAAUUAUUAUAUAAUAAGUAUUGUGCAAUAGCAAGAAAUUUUCAAUUGCACAGUAUUGCACAAUAGCAAGAAAUCUUCAAUUGCACAGUAUUGCGCAAUAGCAAGAAAUCUUCAAUUGCACAGUAUUGCGCAAUAGCAAGAAAUAUCCAAUAGCACAAUAUUGCGCAAUAGCAAGAAAUUGUCAAUUGUACAGUAUUGCGCAAUAGCAAGAAAUAUUUAAUAGCACAGGAUUGUGCAAAAGAAGAUACUUCCUAUAAAUUGCUUAUUUCUUGACCAAUUUCAAUGGGGUUUUAUUCUUGAUUUCAUGGGGUUCUUUAAUAUGCUGAAUCUAACCGUGUAUUUAGUUUUUGGAUUUUGGACCCCGUUUUUAAAUUGGUCCACAUUGAGGUCCAAAGGGUCCAAAAUUAAACUUUGUUUGAUUUCAUCAAAAAUUGAAUUAUUGGGGUUCAUUGAUAUGCCGAAUCUAACUGUGUAUUUAGAUUCUUAAAUUUUGGUUCCGUUUUCAAAUUGGUCUACAUUAAGGUCCAAAGGGUCCAAAAUUAAACUUAGUUUGAUUUUAACAAAAAUUGAAUUCUUAGGGUUCUUUGAUAUGCUGAAUCUAAACAUGUAUUUAGAUUUUUGAUUAUGGGCCCAGUUUUCAAGUUGGUCCAAAUCGGGGUCCAAAAUUAAACUUUGUUUGAUUUCAACAAAAAUUGAAUAUAUGGGGUUCUUUGAUAUGCUGAAUCUAACCAUGUAUUUAGAUUUUUGAUUUUUGGGCCCCGUUAUCAACUUUGUCCACAUUGAGGUCAAAAGGGUCCAAAAUUAAACUUCGUUUGAUUUCAUCAAAAAUUGAAUUAUUGGGGUUCUUUGAUAUGCCGAAUCUAACCGUGUAUUUAGAUUCUUAAUUUUUGGUUCCGUUUUCAAAUUGGUCUACAUUAAGGUCCAAAGGGUCCAAAAUUAAACUUAGUUUGAUUUUAACAAAAAUUGAAUUCUUAGGGUUCUUUGAUAUGCUGAAUCUAAACAUGUAUUUAGAUUUUUGAUUAUGGGCCCAGUUUUCAAGUUGGUCCAAAUCGGGGUCCAAAAUUAAACUUUGUUUGAUUUCAACAAAAAUUGAAUAUAUGGGGUUCUUUGAUAUGCUGAAUCUAACCAUGUAUUUAGAUUUUUGAUUUUUGGGCCCCGUUAUCAACUUUGUCCACAUUGAGGUCAAAAGGGUCCAAAAUUAAACUUCGUUUGAUUUCAUCAAAAAUUGAAUUAUUGGGGUUCUUUGAUAUGCCGAAUCUAACCGUGUAUUUAGAUUCUUAAUUUUUGGUUCCGUUUUCAAAUUGGUCUACAUUAAGGUCCAAAGGGUCCAAAAUUAAACUUAGUUUGAUUUUAACAAAAAUUGAAUUCUUAGGGUUCUUUGAUAUGCUGAAUCUAAACAUGUAUUUAGAUUUUUGAUUAUGGGCCCAGUUUUCAAGUUGGUCCAAAUCGGGGUCCAAAAUUAAACUUUGUUUGAUUUCAACAAAAAUUGAAUAUAUGGGGUUCUUUGAUAUGCUGAAUCUAACCAUGUAUUUAGAUUUUUGAUUUUUGGGCCCCGUUAUCAACUUUGUCCACAUUGAGGUCAAAAGGGUCAAAAAUUAAACUUUGUUUGAUUUCAUCAAAAAUUGAAUUCUUGGGGUUCUUUGAUAUGCUGAAUCUAACCAUGUAUUUAGAUUUUGGAUAUUGGACCAUAAUAGGUGAAUGUCCAAUUUAAAAUUUUUAAGUUCUUAGACCACAUUCAAUCUGUGUUAGAAACCUAUGCUGUGUCAAAUAUUUAAUCACAAUCCAAAUCCAAAGCUGUAUCAAGCUUGAAUGUUGUGUCCAUACUUCCCCCAACUGUUCAGGGUUCGACCUCUGCGGUCGUAUCAAGCUGCGCCCUGCGGAGCAUUUUAUUGUAACUUCCAGACAUAACUUGUGUGUUAGUGUAUGGAUCUCUCUGACAUUGUACCACAAGGUUCCAUAUCACAAAGGGAAUGCUGGGAUUGAUUUGGGGGUAAUUGCCUCAAAAUUUUAGGAAUGAGGGGCCAAAAAAGGGGCAAAAAACAAGUAUUUUUCUAGUUUCAUGAUAAUAACUUGUGUGUAAGUGUAUGGAUCUUUAUGAAAUUGUACUACAAGGUUCCAUAUCACAAAGGGAAAGCUGGAAUUGAGUUUGGGGGUAAUUGCCCGAAACGUUUAGGAAUUGGGGGCCAAAAAGGGGCCAAAAAUAAGCAUUUUUCUAGUUUCCAGACAAUAACUUGUGUUCAAGUGUAUGGAUCUCUCUGAAAUUGUACUGCAAGGUACCAUACCACAAAGGGAAGGCUGGGAUUGAGUUUGGGGGUGAUGAAUCAUAAGGGGGUUCAAAAAAUUUGGGGGGGGGGGGAAUUUUUUUUUCUUCUUUUUUUUUCUUUUUUUCCUUUUUUUUUUCUUUUAAAAUUUUCCAUUUUAAGUUGGUUAUUUCUGAUUAAUAUUUAAAAGCAAAUAAUAAUGAUAUGGUAGGAGAUACACACCAAACAGGAUGUGUAAAUUAUUAUAUAAUAAGUAUUGUGCAAUAGCAAGAAAUUUUCAAUUGCACAGUAUUGCACAAUUGCAAGAAAUCUUCAAUUGCACAGUAUUGCGCAAUAGCAAGAAAUCUUCAAUUGCACAGUAUUGCGCAAUAGCAAGAAAUCUUCAAUUGCACAGUAUUGCGCAAUAGCAAGAAAUAUCCAAUAGCACAAUAUUGCGCAAUAGCAAGAAAUUGUCAAUUGAACAGUAUUGCACAAUAGCAAGAAAUAUUCAAUUGCACAGUAUUGUGCAAAAGAAGAUACUUCGUAUAAAUUGCUUAUUUCUUGAUCAAUUUAAAUGGGGUUUUAUUCUUGAAUUCUUGGGGGUCUUUAAUAUGCUGAAUCUAACCGUGUAUUAAGUUUUUGGAUUUUGGGCCCCGUUUUUAAAUUGGUCCACAUUGAGGUCCAAAGGGUCCAAAAUUUAACUUUGUUUGAUUUCAUCAAAAAUUGAAUUAUUGGGGUUCUUUGAUAUGCCGAAUCUAACCGUGUAUUUAGAUUCUUAAUUUUUGGUUCCGUUUUCAAAUUGGUCUACAUUAAGGUCAAAAGGGUCCAAAAUUAACCUUAGUUUGAUUUUAACAAAAAUUGAAUUUUUAGGGUACUUUGAUAUGCUGAAUCUAAACAUGUAUUUAGAUUUUUGAUUAUGGGCCCAGUUUUCAAGUUGGUCAAAUCGGGGUCCAAAAUUAAACUUUGUUUGAUUUCAACAAAAAUUGAAUAUAUGUGGUUCUUUGAUAUGCUGAAUCUAACCAUGUAUUUAGAUUUUUGAUUUUUGGGCCCCGUUAUCAACUUUGUCCACAUUGAGGUCAAAAGGGUCCAAAAUUAAACUUUGUUUGAUUUCAUCAAAAAUUGAAUUCUUGGGGUUCUUUGAUAUGCUGAAUCUAACCAUGUAUUUAGAUUUUUUAUUUGUGGACCCGCUAUCAAAUUGGUUCAUAUUGAGGUCAAAAGGGUCCAAAAUUAAACUUUGUUUGAUUUCAUCAAAAAUUGAAUUAUUGGGGUUCUUUGAUAUGCCAAAUCUAACCGUGUAUUUAAAUUUUUAAUUUUGGGUCCCGUUUUUAAAUUAGUCUACAUUAAGGUCCAAAGGGUCCAAAAUUAAACUUAGUUUGAUUUUAACAAAAAUUGAAUUCUUGGGGUUCUUUGAUAUGCUGAAUCUAAACAUGUGUUUAGAUUUUUGAUUAUGGGCCCAGUUUUCAAGUUGGUCCAAGUUGGGGUCCAAAAUUAAACUUUGUUUGAUUUCAACAAAAAUUGAAUAUAUGGGGUUCUUUGAUAUGCUGAAUCUAAACAUGUAUUUAGAUUUUAGAUUUUUGGCCCAGUUUUCAAGUUGGUCCAAAUUGGGGUCCAAAAUUAAACUUUGUUUGAUUUCAACAAAAAAUUAAUAUAUGGGGUUCUUUGAUAUGCUGAAUCUUACCAUGUAUUUAGAUUUUUUAUUUGUGGGCCCGCUAUCAAAUUGGUUCAUAUUGAGGUCAAAAGGGUCCAAAAUUAAACUUUGUUUGAUUUCAUCAAAAAUUGAAUUAUUGGGGUUCUUUGAUAUGCCAAAUCUAACCGUGUAUUUAGAUUUUUAAUUUUGGGUCCCGUUUUUUAAAUUGGUCUACAUUAAGGUCCAAAGGGUCCAAAAUUAAACUUAGUUUGAUUUUAACAAAAAUUGAAUUUUUGGGGUUCUUUGAUAUGCUGAAUCUAAACAUGAGUUUAGAUUUUUUAUUAUGGGCCCAGUUUUCAAGUUGGUCCAAGUUGGGGUCCAAAAUUAAACUUUGUUUGAUUUCAACAAAAAUUGAAUAUAUGGGGUUCUUUGAUAUGCUGAAUCUAAACAUGUAUUUAGAUUUUAGAUUUUUGGCCCAGUUUUCAAGUUGGUCCAAAUUGGGGUCCAAAAUUAAACUUUGUUUGAUUUCAACAAAAAUUGAAUAUAUGGGGUUCUUUGGUAUGCUGAAUCUUACCAUGUAUUUAGAUUUUUUAUUUUGUGGGCCCGCUAUCAAAUUGGUUCAUAUUGAGGUCUAAAGGGUCCAAAAUUAAACUUUGUUUGAUUUCAUUAAAAAUUGAAUUAUUGGGGUUCUUUGAUAUGCCAAAUCUAACCGUGUUUUUAGAUUUUUAAUUUUGGGUCCCGUUUUUUAAAUUGGUCUACAUUAAGGUCCAAAAGGUCCAAAAUUAAACUUAGUUUGAUUUUAACAAAAAUUGAAUUCUUGGGGUACUUUGAUAUGCUGAAUCUAAACAUGUGUUUAGAUUUUUGAUUAUGGGACCAGUUUUCAAGUUUGUUCAAGUUGGGGUCCAAAAUUAAACUUUGUUUGAUUUCAACAAAAAUUGAAUUUAUGGGGUUCUUUGAUAUGCUGAAUCUAACCAUGUAUUUUGAUUUUGGACAUUGGACCAUAAUAGGUAAAUUAAAAAAAUUGAAGUUCUUAGACCACAUUCUUUCUGUGUCAGAACCUAUGCUGUGUCAAAUAUUUAAUCACAAUCCAAAUUCAGAGCUGUAUCAAGCUUGAAUGUUGUGUCCAUACUUGCCCCAACUGUUCAGGGUUCGACCUCUGCGGUCGUAUCAAGCUGCGCCCAGCGAAGCAUUUUAUUGUAACUUCCAGACAAUAACUUGUGUGUUAGUGUAUGGAUCUCUCUGACAUUGUACCACAAGGUUCCAUAUCACAAAGGGAAUGCUGGGAUUGAUUUUGGGGGUAAUUGCCUCCAAAUAUCUUUAUGAAAUUGUACUACAAGGUACCAUAUUACAAAGGGAAAGCUGGAAUUGAGUUUGGGGGUUAUUGCCCAAAACGUUUAGGAAUAAGGGGCCAAAAAGGAGCCAAAAAACACAUUUUUCUAGUUUCCAGACAAUAACUUGUGUUCAAGUGUAUGGAUCUCUCUGAAAUUGUACUGCAACGUACCAUACCACAAAGAAAAGGCUGGGAUUGAUUUAGGGGUAAUUGCCUCAAAAUUUUAGGAAUAAGGGGCUAUAAAGGGGCAAAAAAACAAGCAUUUUUCUAGUUUCAGGACAAUAACUUGUGUAUAAGUGUAUUGAUCUUUAUGAAAUUGUACUACAAGGUUCCAUAUCACAAAGGGAAAGCUGGAAUUGAGUUUGGGGGUAAUUGCCCGAAACGUUUAGGAAUUGGGGGCCAAAAAGGGGCCAAAAAUAAGCAUUUUUCUAGUUUACAGACAAUAACUUGUGUUCAAGUGUAUGGAUCUCUCUGAAAUUGUACUGCAAGGUACCAUACCACAAAGGGAAGGCUGGGAUUGAGUUUGGGGGUGAUGAAUCAUAAGGGGGUUCAAAAAAUUUGGGGGGGGGGAUUUUUUUUUUUUUUUUUUUUCUUUUUUUCCUUUUUUUUUUCUUUUAAAAUUUUCCAUUUUAAGUUGGUUAUUUCUGAUUUAUAUUUAAAAGCAAAUAAUAAUGAUAUGGUAGGAGAUACACACCAAACAGGAUGUGUAAAUUAUUAUAUAAUAAGUAUUGUGAAAUAGCAAGAAAUUUUCAAUUGCACAGUAUUGCACAAUAGCAAGAAAUCUUCAAUUGCACAGUAUUGCGCAAUAGCAAGAAAUCUUCAAUUUAACAGUAUUGCGCAAUAGCAAGAAAUAUCCAAUAGCACAAUAUUGCGCAAUAGCAAGAAAUUGUCAAUUGUACAGUAUUGCGCAAUAGCAAGAAAUAUUCAAUUGCACAGUAUUGUGCAAAAGAAGAUACUUCGUAUAAAUUGCUUAUUUCUUGAUCAAUUUCAAUGGGGUUUUAUUCUUGAAUUCUUGGGGUUCUUUAAUAUGCUGAAUCUAACCGUGUAUUAAGUUUUUGGAUUUUGGGCCCCGUUUUUAAAUUGGUCCACAUUGAGGUCCAAAGGGUCCAAAAUUAAACUUUGUUUGAUUUCAUCAAAAAUUGAAUUAUUGGGGUUCUUUGAUAUGCCGAAUCUAACCGUGUAUUUAGAUUUUUAAUUUUGGGUCCCGUUUUUUAAAUUUGUCUACAUUAAGGUCUAAAGGGUCCAAAAUUAAACUUAGUUUGAUUUUAACAAAAAUUGAAUUCUUAGGGUUCUUUGAUAUGCUGAAUCUAAACAUGUGUUUAGAUUUUUGAUUAUGGGCCCAGUUUUCAAGUUGGUCCAAGUUGGGGUCCAAAAUUAAACUAUGUUUGAUUUCAACAAAAAUUGAAUAUAUGGGGUUCUUUGAUAUGCUGAAUCUAAACAUGUAUUUAGAUUUUAGAUUUUUGGCCCAGUUUUCAAGUUGGUCCAAAUUGGGGUCCAAAAUUAAACUUUGUUUGAUUUCAACAAAAAUUGAAUAUAUGGGGUUCUUUGAUAUGCUGAAUCUUACCAUGUAUUUAGAUUUUUUAUUUGUGGGCCCGCUAUCAAAUUGGUUCAUAUUGAGGUCAAAAGGGUCCAAAAUUAAACUUUGUUUGAUUUCAUCAAAAAUUGAAUUAUUGGGGUUCUUUGAUAUGCCAAAUCUAACCGUGUAUUUAGAUUUUUAAUUUUGGGUCCUGUUUUUUAAAUUGCUCUACAUUAAGGUCCAAAGGGUCCAAAAUUAAACUUAGUUUGAUUUUAACAAAAAUUGAAUUUUUGGGGUUCUUUGAUAUGCUGAAUCUAAACAUGUGUUUAGAUUUUUGAUUAUGGGACCAGUUUUCAAGUUGGUCCAAGUUGGGGUCCAAAAUUAAACUUUGUUUGAUUUCAACAAAAAUUGAAUAUAUGGGGUUCUUUGAUAUGCUGAAUCUAAACAUGUAUUUAGAUUUUAGAUUUUUGGCCCAGUUUUCAAGAUGGUCCAAAUUGGGGUCCAAAAUUAAACUUUGUUUGAUUUCAACAAAAAUUGAAUAUAUGGGGUUCUUUGAUAUGCUGAAUCUUACCAUGUAUUUAGAUUUUUUAUUUGUGGGCCCGCUAUCAGAUUGGUUCAUAUUGAGGUCAAAAGGGUCCAAAAUUAAACUUUGUUUGAUUUCAUCAAAAAUUGAAUUAUUGGGGUUCUUUGAUAUGCCAAAUCUAACUGUGUUUUUAGAUUUUUAAUUUAGGGUCCCGUUUUUUAAAUUUGUCUACAUUAAGGUCCAAAGGGUCCAAAAUUAAACUUAGUUUGAUUUUAACAAAAAUUGAAUUCUUCGGGUACUUUGAUAUGCUGAAUCUAACACAUGUUUAGAUUUUUGAUUAUGGGACCAGUUUUCAAGUUUGUCCAAGUUGGGGUCCAAAAUUAAACUUUGUUUGAUUUCAACAAAAAUUGAAUAUAUGGGGUUCUUUGAUAUGCUGAAUCUAACCAUGUAUUUUGAUUUUGGACAUUGGACCAUAAUAGGUAAAUUAAAAAAAUUGAAGUUCUAAGACCACAUUCUUUCUGUGUCAGAAACCUAUGCUGUGUCAAAUAUUUAAUCACAAUCCAAAUUCAGAGCUGUAUCAAGCUUGAAUGUUGUGUCCAUACUUGCCCCAACUGUUCAGGGUUCGACCUCUGCGGUCGUAUCAAGCUGCGCCCAGCGAAGCAUUUUAUUAUUUAUU